UACAUGGGGUGCAAACGUUGCUCGGAAUUAUUGGGCGUAAAGCGCGCGUAGGCGGUUGCUCAAGUCGGAUGUGAAAGCCCUCGGCUUAACUGAGGAAGUGCACCCGAAACUGAGUAGCUAGAGUACCAAAGAGGGUCGCGGAAUUCCCGGUGUAGAGGUGAAAUUCGUAGAUAUCGGGAGGAACACCGGUGGCGAAGGCGGCGACCUGGGUGGAUACUGACGCUGAGGCGCGAAAGCGUGGGGAGCAAACAGG
rnacentral:rRNA from 1 species